UACGUAGGGUGCAAGCGUUAAUCGGAAUUACUGGGCGUAAAGCGUGCGCAGGCGGUUAUGUAAUCCAGAUGUGAAAUGCCCGGGCUUAACCUGGGAACUGCAUUUGUGACUGCAUGGCUAGAGUUUGGCAGAGGGGGGUAGAAUUCCACGUGUAGCAGUGAAAUGCGUAGAUAUGUGGAGGAACACCGAUGGCGAAGGCAGCCCCCUGGGUCAAGACUGACGCUCAUGCACGAAAGCGUGGGGAGCAAACAGG
rnacentral:rRNA from 1 species